GGGGCGUGAGAUCCAUGAGUGCUACAAGAUUGCCUAACACUUUCCUCACUUCGUGCUUUUCAGAGUAGUCGAAUGUGCCCCACCACUUGACCAACUUUUUGGGUACCUUGACAACCAUAAGGACUCUAGAUUUUGUGGACAGAUCCAUCCUGUAAUAACACAUAGGACAUUAACUUAAACAUUCAAUAAGACUGGAAAAGAUCCCCACCCAUGGGAUUAUGACGCAGACGUGUGUUGAAGGGACAGACCAUUAUAUGAGUCAAAUUUGCCGAACAGUAGCACUGAAUAAAAUCAGCCUACUUAGUAAGAACCCGCUAACAACACUAAAUUACACGGAGAAAAACCUAGGCUAAGACUAAGACAAAGGCCAAAAUAAAGAUUACCGGACCCACCGAGGGUUGCCUACGUACCCCCCGAGGGAUGGGAAUCAGGUAUGCGUAGUUCGUUCAGAUUGGACAAUUAAUGAUUAAAUAACAGAUUGCACCCUAACUUGAGACACGACCAAAGACACACAAUGAACAACAUAACAAUUUUUUUUUUGUGUUUUCAAUUUGACACUUCACAUAAAAAAACGACACCAACAACUAUGAAAGAAAAUCUUUUUUGUAUUUUCGUUAUAUGAAAUUUAUAAAACUUCUAUCACCUUUUUGCAUUCCUCUUUUAUAAAAAGCUCCUCUUAAAAGAAAUCUUUUUGAAAUUUCCAAAUUAUGGACGCUUACUAAAGAAACAAAGAAAAUUUUUUUUGAUGUUUUUGUUUUGAUAAAAUGAGUGUAAAAGGUACAAAAUCUUUUUGAAUUUUUGAAUUGUGAAAAACACAAGCCAUAAAGAACAUUAAAAGCUAUGAAACCUUUUUUGACUCACUUUCUUUGUUUCAAGCACACCUUACUUUUAACACAUUCUUUUCCCGAAUCAGUCCGUCAAAUGACCACAUUACCUUCAAAGAUGCAACAUUUAGCACAUGGGGAUGCUUUAAAGGUGAGUCUCCUACAAAGGACCGUGUGGGCCCCACUAGGUCUCAAUAUGAUGCACAUAAGAAUGACCUAAAGGCUGACCUACGUUGUGAUUUACUAACAAGGCCGUUCGGGGGAGCAUAUGGUCGAUAGUGGCUGCUUUACUUUCCACCUACUCCAUACAUCCAACAGCUCCCCCCUAAAAUAAGGAUGACUCAACUAGAGUUCGUGCGCAUGACGUGCACUCCGAGACUUGUUGCAGAAAGAAUUGACUCGGGUUAUGCAAAUGAUGCCAGAUAUAAAGCGGUAACACAUAUAGAAAAACUGUAAAAAAAGAGCACACAACAGUGAUAACAAUAACACAAACAAUAAUCACAAAUAAUUUUUAUACACCCAUAAUGCCAAACAAAGCCGAUACGACUCCAAAAAUAAGCCCAAAUUCUGAAAACUCCCCAGUAGAGUCGCCAGAGCUGUCACAUCCCUUUUUUAACUCCAAAAAAAGAUUAAUUUUAAGGUUCGAAAGGGUUUUUAUUAUUAAAGUGACAAAAAGAUGAAAAUUUUUGUUUCGAAAAGGAUUAUUUAAAUGUAAACUCAGAGUCACCACUUGGCAUAAUCGGGUGUACCAAGUCACCUUUGGAAAUCCUUUUCGAAAUGAUUUGACUCUUUAAAAAAAAACUGAUUUGCGAACCGAGAUUCCGACUAAGGAAUUUUGUUGACCGAGGGGAAGGUGUUAGGCACCCUCGAUCCCGUGGUUCGACCACGGUCGCUUGGUGGAGCAUAUUGGCUAAAUUUGAAACUAAAGAUGUAUAAACCACAUAAACACACGACAAUCAAGCAAAUGAACACAAACCAAAACAAACCCCAAAAAUACAAUGUUCAGUCUAAUUAUACAAUCCAAAAAUAAAAAAAUGUGUAAAUAAAUCCUAUCUAAUCCAUACUAAUCCUAACUAAGCUCCUAUGCUUUACCCGAUGCCUCGGGCCUUCAUCACGAACGUCCUCCGAGUACAAAAUACUUUGGGGCAUUUUCCGGAUAAAAUAAUACAAGUACUUCGGGGCAUUCCCUGGCCAAAUGAUACAAUUGAAUCAAGUACGAUAAACUAGAAAAUAUUCAACCAAUAUUCCAGAUUCAAACAUUCAACGAAAACUCUUAUUCAUAGGAAUUUUGCCUACCCGAACCUAUAUUCGCCUAUUUAUUUCAAUGUAUUGUGAUACUAUCAAUUCAAACAACAUUUAAUGAAUCAAAAUAAAUUAAUGAUUGCUUUUUAUCAAUUUCAAUUCCAAUCCCUACUUGUUUCAUUUUUUAUCAAUUACACCUGCAUAGUUACUCCGAUUCAUUUCAUAUAUCAACGAAAUCACAUCGUCAAAAAUAUAACAUCAUAACAUCAACAAAAAUCCAACAAUCACCACGAAUAAUCACAACCAAUUCAAAUAAUCGAAAAUAAAGAACGGGGAGACGGGUUAAAGAAAUGGACCUCGAUAGAACGUUCUUGUAUGAUAAUAAAGAAAUCCGAAGACCAAAAUACUCGAACGGAGAACCUCAACAGCGACAAACUCCGAUUUCGAUCACAAACUGAUCUUAAUAGACAGGUCAAUACGAAUGAAAAUCAAACCCAAAACCCGAAAUGAGAGUCAAUGAAUCCCGCAACCUGAUUUCGAAAACGAAUCACCAAGACAGACUAAACCAAGGCUUCAAUGGUCUAAUAGCUGCUAAAGAAAUUGUAUGACCUAAGCUCCGAUAAGUGAACAAAGACAAGACAACCAAAACAGUGAACAACGACCAGGUUUUGUCCAAAAAUCGAAGGAAAAUAAAAUGGUUUUUUGAGCGAUUUUGAGAAGAGGUCUAUCGAACAACGAGAAAGAAACCGAUAUGCGAACUCGAGGCUGAUUUCGGCGAACUUACCGGAGCUCUCAACCCAGAAUCUCUCUCUCUGCUACUCCCUCUCUCUUUUGAUCUACUCUCUUCUUGCCAUCUCACUCUGUGUGUGUGCGGUUUUAGUGUAGAAGAACCGAAGGUUUCUUUUUUUUAUUUUCUGAUCUUUCUCUCUAUGGAGAAGAUGAUAUGAUGGUUAUGGUGAGAGUAAGAAAAAAUAAAAAAAGAAAGUGAAGGCGUGUCAAUGGUGGUUUUCAGGAAUGAAGAAGAAGAGCUCAAGAUUUCUUUUCUGUCUAUUCUCCUGAUACCCCCCUCUCCCUUUUGUUUCUAUAUGUAUUGUAUAUAUAAUAUUGUGUGGGUCAGUGGUCCCCCUUGCAAAAAACGUGACCUCCCCUUGUCUCUUUUUAAUUCCAAAGAAAGAAUAAUGAACCCCAGUGGGCCCACCCUCUCUUUUGUUCUCUAUAUGUAUAUGAUAAAUGAAAACAAAAUGGUCCCCUCCCUGCAUCUCUCUCUAUCUGUGUGUAUAUUUAUCUCAAAGAAAGCCCAAAAGGAAUCAUCCACGUGGGCCCCUUCCUCCCCUUUUCUUGGAAACUUCCUUUUUUUCAUUAUUUUUGUUUUGUUUUUUUUUACUUUUUAUUUCUUUGUGGACAAAAAAUGUGAAGAGGGGGAGGGGUCACGUGGGUAAGUAGGGUAGUGAUGAGGUGUCUUGUUUUGAUUGGAUAGGUUGUUAGAAUAAAAAUAAAAUUAGUUAGGGGUUGUUAUUUUUUGUCAUUUUAUGGAGGGAUGAUUACAUGAUUGAUGGUACAUGAUAAGAUGAGAUAAAAAUGGUAAAAAUGUUUUUUGGGAGGAACAAAAUUAGGUGUCUACACAAGUUUCAGUAACAUGAAAAUUUUAAGGUGGGACAUGAGACGAAGACAACAGGUUUGUUGGAUGAGUUUCAGUAACGUGGCAACUUUAAGGUGGGAAAUGAGAUGAAGAUAAUAGAUUUGUUAGAUGUUUAAAUAUGGCAUACUACUCUGAAUGAGGAAGUGCUCGAGGUCUCUAAGUUCCUUCUUUAUCUUGACAAUACCAGUGCUCAUUGUAGAAGGAAUAACGGUUAGGAUAUUACAAGGACCGUCAACGUUGGGGAAUUGAUUGACUCUUUAUAUUGAUAAUUGGAAACCAGGAUGAAG
rnacentral:lncRNA from 1 species